GCCCUCACUUCUGCAGCACAUAUACUAAAAUUGGAAUGAUACAGAGAUUAGCAAGGCCCCUGUACAAGGACAGCAUGCAAAUUCAUGAAACAGUACACAUUAAA
rnacentral:snRNA from 1 species